rnacentral:rRNA from 1 species
GUGAGGAAUCUUGCGCAAUGGGUGAAAACCUGACGCAGCGACGCCGCGUGGGGGAAGAAGGCUUUAGGGUCGUAAACCCCUUUUGGGAGGGAAGAAAACCCGUCUGUUAAUAGCAGGCGGGCUUGACGGUACCUCCAGAAAAAGCCACGGCUAACUCUGUGCCAGCAGCCGCGGUAAGACAGAGGUGGCUAGCGUUGUUCGGAAUUACUGGGCGUAAAGCGCACGCAGGCGGUUAGGUAAGUCCUAUGUGAAAGUCCCCUGCUCAACGGGGGAAGGUCGUAGGUUACUGCCUGACUAGAGGAUGGGAGAGGAGAGCGGAAUUCCCGGUGGAGCGGUGAAAUGCGUAGAUAUCGGGAGGAAGGCCGGUGGCGAAGGCGGCUCUCUGGAACAUACCUGACGCUCAGGUGCGAAAGCGUGGGGAGCAAACAGG